CUUCGUGUUCGGUGUAAUGGUGGUUUGAAUCAGCAACGUAGUGCGAUGCAGUACUUGCUGCCCGAAUCAUGAAUGCUACACUUGUGUUGCCCGAAUUAGAUGCAAACUCGUUUUGGCAUGAUGACAGUGGUGGUUUCCAAGGUAUAUAUGAUGUU